CCGGCGCACGGGUGAGUAACACGUAUCCAACCUGCCGUCUACUCUUGGACAGCCUUCUGAAAGGAAGAUUAAUACAAGAUGGCAUCAUGAGUCCGCAUGUUCACAUGAUUAAAGGUAUUCCGGUAGGCGAUGGGGAUGCGUUCCAUUAGAUAGUAGGCGGGGUAACGGCCCACCUAGUCUUCGAUGGAUAGGGGUUCUGAGAGGAAGGUCCCCCACAUUGGAACUGAGACACGGUCCAAACUCCUACGGAAGGCAGCAG
rnacentral:rRNA from 1 species